GCUUGUCUCAAAGAUUAAGCCAUGCAUGUCUAAGUGUAAAUAAGUCUAUACUGUGAAACUGCGAAUGGCUCAUUAAAUCAGUUAUCGUUUAUUUGAUGAUCUCUUACUACUUGGAUAACCGUAGUAAUUCUAGAGCUAAUACAUGCACAAAAUCCCGACUUACGAAGGGAUGUAUUUAUUAGAUUGAAACCAAUGCGGGGUAACCCGGUGUUUGGUGAUUCAUAAUAACUUUCGGAUCGCAUUUGCGAUGCAUCAUUCAAGUUUCUGCCCUAUCAGCUUUGGAUGGUAGGGUAUUGGCCUACCAUGGCAUUAACGGGUAACGGAGGAUUUGGGUUCGAUUCCGGAGAGGGAGCCUGAGAAAUGGCUACCACAUCCAAGGAAGGCAGCAGG
rnacentral:rRNA from 1 species